rnacentral:rRNA from 1 species
UAUCCCCCCCCCUGUCGUGCCCCUUGCCCUCCCCCACCGACCUGCAGAACGCGAAGAACCUUACCAACCCUUGACAUGGGACGUAUGGACUUCAGAGAUGAGGUUCUUCAGUUCGGCUGGCGUCCACACAGGUGCUGCAUGGCUGUCGUCAGCUCGUGUCGUGAGAUGUUGGGUUAAGUCCCGCAACGAGCGCAACCCUCAUCUUCAGUUGCCAUCAUUUAGUUGGGCACUCUGAAGAAACUGCCGGUGACAAGCCGGAGGAAGGCGGGGAUGACGUCAAGUCCUCAUGGCCCUUACGGGCUGGGCUACACACGUGCUACAAUGGUGGUGACAAUGGGGAGCGAGGCCGCGAGGCCAAGCCAAUCUCAAAAAGCCAUCUCAGUUCGGAUUGCACUCUGCAACUCGAGUGCAUGAAGUUGGAAUCGCUAGUAAUCGCGCAUCAGCAUGGCGCGGUGAAUACGUUCCCGGGUCUUGUACACACCG